GGCAAUGAUGCUUGCCAUGGUGAUGACGACGACGAUGCAGCUUCACCUCGACUGGACCUGCCUGCACCGCCCUCUGCACCAGCUCAUGAGAGCAUCACUGGCACAUCCCUGGAGCCACUUGCAUACGGAGGCCCUGAGGAGAUGAUGCCGGUGAUGCUGCGGGUGCUGCGGGUGCAGCUAGAGGUGAGGCAGCAAAAUAGAGAGCUGCAUCAUGAGCUGCAGCAGCUGAG